rnacentral:rRNA from 1 species
CACGUAGGGCGCAAGCGUUGUCCGGAAUUAUUGGGCGUAAAGAGCUCGUAGGCGGUCUGUUGCGUCCGCUGUGAAAACUCGGGGCUUAACCCCGAGCCUGCAGUGGAUACGGGCAGACUAGAGGUAGGUAGGGGAGAAUGGAAUUCCCGUGUAGCGGUGAAAUGCGCAGAUAUCGGGGAGGAACACCGGUGGCGAAGGCGGUUCUCUGGGCCUUACCUGACGCUGAGGAGCGAAAAGCGUGGGGGAGC